UGGGGAAUAUUGCACAAUGGGGGAAACCCUGAUGCAGCGACGCCGCGUGAACGAAGAAGGUAUUCGUAUCGUAAAGUUCUGUCCUAUGGGAAGAUAAUGACAGUACCAUAGAAGAAAGCUCCGGCUAAAUACGUGCCAGCAGCCGCGGUAAUACGUAUGGAGCGAGCGUUGUCCGGAAUUAUUGGGCGUAAAGGGUACGCAGGCGGUUUAAUAAGUCGAAUGUUAAAGAUCGGGGCUCAACCCCGCAAAGCAUUGGAAACUGAUAAACUUGAGUAGUGGAGAGGAAAGUGGAAUUCCUAGUGUAGUGGUGAAAUACGUAGAUAUUAGGAGGAAUACCAGUAGCAAAGGCGACUUUCUGGACACAAACUGACGCUGAGGUACGAAUGCGUAGGGAGCAAACAGG
rnacentral:rRNA from 1 species